rnacentral:tRNA from 1 species
AUUUAUAUAUUAUAAAAAGUAUAAUUGAUUUCCAAUCAAUAUGUCUAAUUAAAUUAUUAGUAUAAAUA